UCAAGUUAUUAAGGGUGCAGGGCGGAUGCCUUGGCACUAGGAGCCGAUGAAGGACGUGAUAAGCUGCGAUAAGCUUCGGGGAGUUGCACGUAAACUUUGAUCCGAAGAUUUCCGAAUGAGGAAACUCACUUAGAGUAAUGUCUAAGUAUCAUUAAGUGAAUACAUAGCUUAAUGAGGGGAACUCAGGGAACUGAAACAUCUAAGUACCUGAAGGAAGAGAAAGAAAUUCGAUUCCGUAAGUAGCGGCGAGCGAACGCGGAUUAGCCCAAACCAAUAAAGUUUUCUUUAUUGGGGUUGCGGACAUAUCAUAACGAAGAGGUAUCGUAAUUGAAGAGGUUUGGAAAGACCCACCACAGAAGGUAAUAGUCCUGUAUGUUAAACGAGAAGACUUCAGAUAUGAUCCAGAGUACCACGGGACACGUGAAACCCUGUGGGAAGCAGGAGGGACCACCCUCCAAGGCUAAAUACUACCUAGUGACCGAUAGCGUAUAGUACCGUGAGGGAAAGGUGAAAAGAACCCCGGGAGGGGAGUGAAAUAGAACCUGAAACCCUGCACUUACAAGCUGUGGAAGCACAUUUCUUGUGUGACCGCGUACUUUUUGUAGAACGGGCCAACGAGUUACGUUAAGUAGCAAGGUUAAGCACUUAAGGUGUGGAGCCGUAGCGAAAGCGAGUUUUAACUGAGCGUUCAGUUACUUGACGUAGACCCGAAACCGGGCGACCUACCCAUGAGCAGGAUGAAGCGAAAGUAAAAUUUCGUGGAGGUCCGAACCCACGAGCGUUGAAAAGCUCGGGGAUGACUUGUGGGUAGCGGUGAAAUUCCAAUCGAGCCCGGAGAUAGCUGGUUCUCCCCGAAAUAGCUUUAGGGCUAGCCUCAAGGUGAGAGAUACGGAGGUAGAGCACUGAAUGUCCUAGGGGGUAUUGCACCUACCGAAGACUAUCAAACUCCGAAUGCCGUCAUCUUAUACUUGGGAGUCAGACUGUGGGUGAUAAGAUUCAUAGUCGAAAGGGCAACAGCCCAGAUCGUCAGCUAAGGUCCCUAAAUGUAAGUUAAGUGGUAAAGGAUGUGGGAUUGCACAGACAACCAGGAUGUUGGCUUAGAAGCAGCCACUCAUUCAAAGAGUGCGUAAUAGCUCACUGGUCGAGUGAUCCUGCGCCGAAGAUUUCCGGGGCUAAAACUUACUACCGAAGCUACGGCAUCAGUAAUGAUGGGUAGGGGAGCUUCCCAUACGGGUUGAAGCAUGACCGUAAGGACAUGUGGACAGUAUGGGAGUGAGAAUGUUGGCAUGAGUAGCGAGAUGUGGGUGAGAAUCCCACAGGCCGUAAACCCAAGGUUUCCAGGGGAAGGUUCGUCCGCCCUGGGUUAGUCGGGACCUAAGCUGAGGCCGAAAGGCGUAGGUGAUGGACAACAGGUUGAUAUUCCUGUACUACCGAUAACCGUUUGAGAGAAGGGAUGACACAGUAGGAUAAGCUAAGCACACUGUUGGUUAUGUGUGCCCAAGCAUUGAGGCAGUCAAAGUAGGCAAAUCCGCUUUGAUAAUGCUGGGAUGUGAUGGGGAGCGAAAUUUAGUAGCGAAGUAGCUGAUUUCACACUGUCAAGAAAAGUCUCUAUCGAGGUUAAAGGUACCCGUACCGCAAACCGACACAGGUGGGUGAGGAGAGUAUCCUAAGGCCAGCGAGAGAACUGUUGUUAAGGAACUCGGCAAAAUGACCCCGUAACUUAGGGAUAAGGGGUGCCACCAUCAGGUGGCCGCAGAGAAUAGGCCCAAGCGACUGUUUACCAAAAACAUAGGUUUCUGCUAAGUCGCAAGACGAUGUAUAGGAGCUGACGCCUGCCCGGUGCUGGAAGGUUAAGGGGAUCUGUUAGAGCAAUCGAAGCAGUGAACUUAAGCCCCAGUAAACGGCGGCCGUAACUAUAACGGUCCUAAGGUAGCGAAAUUCCUUGUCGGGUAAGUUCCGACCCGCACGAAAGGCGUAACGAUUUGGGCACUGUCUCAACAACAGACUCGGUGAAAUUGUAAUUCCGGUGAAGAUGCCGGAUACCUGCGACAGGACGGAAAGACCCCAUGGAGCUUUACUGUAGCUUGACAUUGGGUCUUGGUACUACAUGUACAGGAUAGGUGGGAGGCUUUGAAACCAGGACGCCAGUUUUGGCGGAGCCAUCCUUGGGAUACCACCCUUGUAGUACUGGGACUCUAACCAUAGGCCAUGAAUCUGGUCUUGGGACACUGUCAGGUGGGCAGUUUGACUGGGGCGGUCGCCUCCCAAAAGGUAACGGAGGCGCUCAAAGGUUCUCUCAGUACGGUCGGAAAUCGUACGUAGAGUGUAAAGGCAAAAGAGAGCUUGAUUGCAAGACAUACAGGUCGAGCAAGGAUGAAAAUCGGACUUAGUGAUCCGGUGGUUCUGCGUGGAAGGGCCAUCGCUCAACGGAUAAAAGCUACCCUGGGGAUAACAGGCUUAUCUCCCCCAAGAGUCCACAUCGACGGGGAGGUUUGGCACCUCGAUGUCGGCUCAUCACAUCCUGGGGCUGUAGUAGGUCCCAAGGGUUGGGCUGUUCGCCCAUUAAAGUGGUACGCGAGCUGGGUUCAGAACGUCGUGAGACAGUUCGGUCCCUAUCCGUCGCAGGCGUAGGAAAUUUGAGAAGACCUGUCCUUAGUACGAGAGGACCGGGAUGGACGUACCUCUGGUGUACCAGUUGUUCUGCCAAGGGCAUGGCUGGGUAGCUAUGUACGGAAUGGAUAAGCGCUGAAAGCAUCUAAGCGCGAAGCCAACUUCAAGAUAAGAUUUCCCACCGNNNNNNNNNNNNNAAGGGUAAGACCCCAGAAAGACUAUCUGGUUGAUAGGUCGAAGGUGUAAGUGCAGCAAUGUAUUUAGCUUAUCGAUACUAAUAGGUCGAGGACUUGACCAA
rnacentral:rRNA from 1 species